rnacentral:rRNA from 1 species
CUACGGGAUGCUGCAGGCGAGAAAACUUUGCAAUGUGCGAAAGCACGACAAGGUUAAUCCGAGUGGUUUGUGCUAAACGAACCUUUUGACAGUCCUAGAAACACUGUUGAAUAAGGGGUGGGCAAGUUCUGGUGUCAGCCGCCGCGGUAAAACCAGCACCUCAAGUGGUCAGGAUGAUUAUUGGGCCUAAAGCAUCCGUAGCCGGCUCUGUAAGUUUUCGGUUAAAUCUGUACGCUCAACGUACAGGCUGACGGGAAUACUGCAGAGCUAGGGAGUGGAGAGGUAGACGGUACUCGGUAGGAAGGGGUAAAAUCCUUUGAUCUAUUGAUGACCACCUGUGGCGAAGGCGGUCUACCCGAACACGUCCGACGGUGAGGGAUGAAAGCUGGGGGAGCAAACCGGAUUAGAUACCCCGGUAGUC